AUACAGUACAUAGAAGAACGUGUGUUUUUGUUGUUUGUGUCUUGCAGACGUCCAGCAGCUGAUGGGUAAUCCAGAAGAAGUUUCCCCUCAGUCAGGGGGGAGCUCCACUUUGAAGCAGGAGACUCCACAACCACCCUGCAUUAAAAAGGAAGAGGAGGAACUCUGCAUCACUCAGGAGGGAGAGUGUCUUCUAGGACGAGAGGAAGCUGAUUACACCAAGUUUCCACUGACUGUUGUCUCUGUGAAGACUGAAGAUGAUGAAGAGAAACCACAAGUAGACAACCUCUUAGCUCCACUAUCAGAUAGUGAGGCUGAAGACGAGGUUGAAGAACCUUUGAGCAGCGAUACAGACUGUGAAGGUGAUAUGAGGACUCACACUGACAACAAACACUCUGAAUGCUCUACAAAGAAGAGAGGUAAAACAUGUUUGAGCUGCUCAGUUUGUGCUGAAAGUUUUACUAACAAGAGCAAUUUAAAUCGACACAUGAGAACACACACAGGAGAUAAACCAUUCAAUUGUUUAGUUUGUGCUAAAAGCUUUUCUCAAAAUAGCAAUUUGACUAAACACAUGAGAACACACACUGGUGAUAAACCAUUCAAUUGUUCAUUUUGUGCUAAAAUAUUUUCUGUUAAGUGGGGUUUGACUAAACACAUGAGAACACACACUGGUGAUAAACCAUUCAAUUGUUCAGUUUGUGCUAAAAGAUUUUCUGUGAGGUGGGGUUUGACUCAACACAUGAGAACACACACGGGUGAAAGAACAUAUAAAUGUUCAGUUUGUGGCGUAAGCUUUUCUCAAAAUGGCCAUUUGAUUCAACACAUGAGAACACACACAGGUGAAAAAACAUUUAAAUGUUCAGUUUGUGGAAAAAGCUUUUCUCAAAAUAGCAUUUUGUUUCAACACAUGAGAACACACACGGGUGAAAAACCAUUUAAAUGUUCAGUUUGUGGCGUAAACUUUUCUCAAAAUGGCCAUUUGACUCAACACAUGAGAACACACACAGGUGAAAAAACAUUUAAAUGUUCAGUUUGUGGAAAAAGCUUUUCUCAAAAUAGCUAUUUCACUGAACACAUGAGAACACACACAGGUGAAAAACCAUUUAAGUGUUCUGUUUGUGGCAAAAGUUUUUCUCAAAAUAACAUUUUGUUUCAACACAUGAGAACACACACAGGGGAAAAACCAUUUAAAUGUUCAGUUUGUGGCGUAAGCUUUUCUCAAAAAAGCCAUUUGACUGUACACAAGAGAACGCACACGGGCGAAAAACCAUUUAGUUGUUCAGUUUGUGGCAAAAGCUUUUCUGGUAAGAGCACUUUGAUUGAACACAUAAGAACACACACAGGUGAAACGCCAUAUAAGUGUUCAGUUUGUGGCAAAAGCUUUUCUAAAAAUUGCCCACUGACGAGACACAUGAGAACACACACAGGUGAAAAACCAUUUAGUUGUUCAGUGUGCUGUAAAAGAUUCACUCAUAAAGCAGCCACAGUAAAACACAUAAGAACACACAAGGGAAAAUAAGCAAAUAGCUGUUUAGUUUGUGGUAUGUUGCUCAUAUGUGGCGACAUCCACCCUACCCAGGACCUCCUCACUGCUUCUUUCACAAAUAUCUAAGGUAUUCCUAAAAACUUGGAUUAUUGGAAGAAUACUUUUAUUUAGCUGCCAACUUUUCCUCCUCAGACUGAUUGAUGUGCAAAUCAGAGACAUAUGAACAAUUAACCCCCAACACCCUCAACCCAACCCCCACCUCCCUGGACUUUCGGGCAUAACAGCUUCAAUCAGGCCCGCGAGAUGAGUUUGCGAAGUGUAAAAGUCGGCUGUAUUUUUUAAUGAAAGAAACUGCUGUUCUAAUUGUGUCCACUGGAUGUCGCAAUAGUAAGUCUGUUGGCAAGCAAAUAGUUUAUACCGAGGCGAGCAAGUAUACCAAGCAAGAAGUACACGGUAAAGCGGGGCUGUGACUCCUCCCCCUCCAGCCAACGUAAAAGAGGAGUAAAAUAAUCAAUCAGUAACCCCACUUCAAAUGCAGCAUGAGACACUGCACACUGAUAUAAUUCUGUGAAAAUGAUUGUCUUCUGUGCAAAUGUAAAGAAAGUGAACAGUGUGUGAUUUACUGCAAUACUGUCAGUAAGUAUCUUACUGCCAUCAGCAGCACUAAGAACAUUUGGCUAGCUGAACCAGGUAUUUGUCAUAUUGUGUCGAAUUGUUGUGUAUAUUUGUAAAGUACAUUGGUUUCAUUAUUGUACGCUCAUUUAGUUGCACAAGACUAAAAUAUUUGCUGCCCAAGAACCUCCGAAGUGGAAGACGGCCACGAGUUUUCCCGGCAUGAACUCAAGUAAAGAGCCCGUCUUUAAGAAGCCGUGCCAGUGUUGUCAUUUCGGAGCCACGCUGUCAGUCUUUCAACUUUUUAUGUGUGCUUUGUUGAAAUUGUUCACACAUUGCACUGCUUUUAUUUUUCUGUCAAUACACAUUAUGUCUAGAAGACAGGAAGUAACUCAACACUCUUGAAUAGUUUCUACCUCAGUGUGUAUGGUUUGUUGAGUUAGCACAGGAUUAAUAUGUGGAAAUGACAAGUGAGGUAGUUGAUGUGAAUUGUGAAUUAUAUUUAUAUAGCGCUUUUCUCAAGUGACUCAAAGCGCUUUACAUAGUGAAACCCAAUAUCUAAGUUACAUUUAAACCAGUGUGGGUGGCACUGGGAGCAGGUGGGUAAAGCGUCUUGCCCAAGGACACAACGGCAGUAACUAGGAUGGCACAAACGGGAAUCGAACCUGCAACCCUCAAGUUGCUGGCACGGCCACUCUACCAACCGAGUUAUGCCGCCCCUAUAGAAUAGUUUUUAUUCAUUUUUGUUUUGGUCUUCUCGAUGGGUUUUUACUU